UACGUAGGGAGCAAGCGUUGUCCGGAAUCAUUGGGCGUAAAGCGCGCGUAGGCGGCCUCAUAAGUCCGUUGUGAAAGUCAAAGGCUCAACCUUUGAAAGCCGAUGGAUACUGUGAGGCUAGAGUCCGGAAGAGGCGAGUGGAAUUCCUGGUGUAGCGGUGAAAUGCGCAGAUAUCAGGAGGAACACCAAUGGCGAAGGCAGCUCGCUGGGACGGUACUGACGCUGAGACGCGAAAGCGUGGGGAGCAAACAGG
rnacentral:rRNA from 1 species